CGCAAGAACAGCGCUCUUUGGGCAGACGCGAACCCCGCUCUCCAUGGCGACGGAAUUGGACCGUUAGCAACCACAACACCACCACUUCCACCCUGACGACGGUCUGUGAGGCCCAAUACAAGAACGUUUCACGGCCUAAAAUAUAAACCAUUUUGUGUUUCGAUCUCCGAAAUUCGAGAGAAACAUAUCAUCACUUCUUUAACCGCUGUCACACACGCGUGUACACGCGCGUGUGUGAGUGAGUGUGUGCGUGUAUGUGGCUCUGUGGCUGUUUUCACGACGAGCUACGACGGUGCCCCGAUCUGCUACCACUCAUUGUCUGAGUCCGAUACAGCCAAAGACGGGAAGGAAAACUGAUAAGAGAGACGACUCGGAUUCUUCCAACAUCAGAGUAUCCCACAACUCUCGCGAACAUUCUUCUCAACAACCUCUGAGACGAGAGACGAGAGAGAUUGAAAGUUGACCCUAUUGGACGCACCCACCACCACACCUCAUCACCUCCCAUCUCAUAGCGAGAGAGAGAGAGAGAGAGAGAGAGAGAGAGAGAGAGAGAGAGAGAGAGAGAGAGAGAGAGAGGAGCAGCAUCACCUCCUCUCCUCUCCUGCGAGGUCUUUCUCCUCCUCCUCCACCUCCUCCUCCUCACCCUUCUCCUCCCUCCCCUCCUCCCCAUUCAUUCCCCCUCCCCAUUUUCCUCUCGUCAUCAUGGGGAACGGUUCCUCUUUCGAGCACGCCAGGACCAUCUAUCUGGACAUCAAUGGAAAAGAAGAAAA